UACGAAGGGACCUAGCGUAGUUCGGAAUUACUGGGCUUAAAGAGUUCGUAGGUGGUUAAAAAAGUUGAUGGUGAAAUCCCAAGGCUCAACCUUGGAACUGCCAUCAAAACUUUUUAGCUAGAGUGUGAUAGAGGAAAGUGGAAUUUCUAGUGUAGAGGUGAAAUUCGUAGAUAUUAGAAAGAACAUCAAAAGCGAAGGCAACUUUCUGGAUCAUUACUGACACUGAGGAACGAAAGCAUGGGUAGCGAAGAGGAUUAGAUACCCUCGUAGUCCAUGCCGUAAACGAUGUGUGCUAGACGUUGGAAACUUAGUUUUCAGUGUCGCAGCGAAAGCAUUAAGCACACCGCCUGGGGAGUACGACCGCAAGGUUAAAACUCAAAUGAAUUGACGGGGACCCGCACAAGUAGUGGAGCAUGUGGUUUAAUUCGAAGAUACGCGCAGAACCUUACCAACACUUGACAUGUUCGUCGCGACUCUAAGAGAUUAGAGUUUUCGGUUCGGCCGGACGAAACACAGGUGCUGCAUGGCUGUCGUCAGCUCGUGUCGUGAGAUGUUGGGUUAAGUCCCGCAACGAGCGCAACCCUCACUUUUAGUUGCCAUCAUUAAGCUGGGCACUCUGAAAGAACUGCCAGUGAUAAGCUGGAGGAAGGUGGGGAUGACGUCAAGUCCUCAUGGCCCUUACGUGUUGGGCUACACACGUGCUACAAUGGUAUCUACAACAGGAAGCAGGACUGCGAAGUUAAGCAAAUCCCUAAAAGAUACCUCAGUUCGGAUUGCACUCUGCAACUCGAGUGCAUGAAGCUGGAAUUACUAGUAAUCGUGGAUCAGCGUGCCACGGUGAAUGCGCUCCCGGGUCU
rnacentral:rRNA from 1 species